rnacentral:rRNA from 1 species
GUGCCAGCCGCCGCGGUAAUACCGGCAGCCCGAGUGAUGGCCGAUCUUAUUGGGCCUAAAGCGUCCGAAGCUGGCCGAACAAGUCCGACGGGAAAUCCACGUGCUUAACACGUGGGCGACCGGAGGAAACUGUUCGGCUUGGGGCCGGAGGACGCGAGGGGUACGUCCGGGGUAGGAGUGAAAUCCUGUAAUCCUGGACGGACCGCCGGUGGCGAGAGCGCCUCGGGAAGACGGACCCGACAGUGAGGGACGAAAGCUGGGAUCUCGAACCGGAUUAGAAACCCCUGUAGUCC